GGUCGCGUAGCUCAGCUGGAUAGAGCAUCUGCCUUCUAAGCAGACGGUCGCACGUUCGAAUCGUGCCGCGAUCACCA
rnacentral:tRNA from 2 species